GAUGAAGAACGCAGCGAAAUGCGAUAAGUAAUGUGAAUUGCAGAAUUCAGUGAAUCAUCGAAUCUUUGAACGCACAUUGCGCCCCCUGGUAUUCCGGGGGGCAUGCCUGUUCGAGCGUCAUUUCACCACUCAAGCCUCGCUUGGUAUUGGGCAACGCGGUCUGCCGCGUGCCUCAAAUCGUCCGGCUGGGUCUUCUGUCCCCUAAGCGUUGUGGAAACUAUUCGCUAAAGGGUGUUCGGGAGGCUACGCCGUAAAACAACCCCAUUUCUAAGGUUGACCUCGGAUCAGGUAGGGAUACCCGCUGAACUUAAGCAUAUCAAUAAGCGGAGGA
rnacentral:misc_RNA from 1 species